rnacentral:tRNA from 1 species
GGUGAAAGCCAACGUGGGUUCGGAACGGGAUCGCCUGCUAAGUGAUUGUCGGGUUUAACCUCGACCGAGAGUUCGAAUCUCUCCCUCCCCGCCA